CAGCAGCCACGGGAACACAGAGGGUGCGAGCGUUAAUCGGAUUUACUGGGCGUAAAGCGUGCGUAGGCGGCUUUUUAAGUCGGAUGUGAAAUCCCUGAGCUUAACUUAGGAAUUGCAUUCGAUACUGGGAAGCUAGAGUAUGGGAGAGGAUGGUAGAAUUCCAGGUGUAGCGGUGAAAUGCGUAGAGAUCUGGAGGAAUACCGAUGGCGAAGGCAGCCAUCUGGCCUAAUACUGACGCUGAGGUACGAAAGCAUGGGGAGCAAACAGGAUUAGAUACCCGAGUAGUCCCUGUCUCUUAUAC
rnacentral:rRNA from 1 species